GGGAGAUGGGCUCCACGGUCUCUGAUGCCAGGAAGAAGAUGAUGAGGUACAACAUGUACCUGAAGAGGAGGCUCGCCAAAGCAGUGCAUGAGAAGAAAGUCUUGAGGGACCAGCAACUGAGGCAGCAAGAAUGCAAUGAGCAGGAGAUCUCACCAUCAGAGCUGAUGAGGAACAAAGCCCAAGAGAGAGCUCACCG